AGUCGAGGGGCAGCGGAGGCGAGUGCUUGCACUUGCCAGACGGCGACCGUCGCACGGGUGAGUAACACGUAUGCGACCUGCCCGUAGCAGGGGGAUAAGCGGAAGAAAUUCCGUCUAAUACCGCGUAAUAUCUUUCGGGGGCAUCCCUGAGGGAUUAAAGGAAGUGAUUCCGGCUACGGAUGGGCAUGCGGCGCAUUAGCUAGUCGGCGGGGUAACGGCCCACCGAGGCGACGAUGCGUAGGGGUUCUGAGAGGAAGGUCCCCCACACUGGUACUGAGACACGGACCAGACUCCUACGGGAGGCAGCAGUGAGGAAUAUUGGUCAAUGGGCGAGAGCCUGAACCAGCCAAGUCGCGUGAGGGAAGACGGUCCUAUGGAUUGUAAACCUCUUUUGUCGGGGAGCAAAAAGGCCUCGUGAGGCCACAAGCGAGAGUACCCGAAGAAAAAGCAUCGGCUAACUCCGUGCCAGCAGCCGCGGUAAUACGGAGGAUGCGAGCGUUAUCCGGAUUUAUUGGGUUUAAAGGGUGCGUAGGCGGACUGGAAAGUCAGCGGUAAAAUCGAGAGGCUCAACCUCUUUCCGCCGUUGAAACUGUCGGUCUUGAGUGGGCGAGAAGUAUGCGGAAUGCGUGGUGUAGCGGUGAAAUGCAUAGAUAUCACGCAGAACUCCGAUUGCGAAGGCAGCAUACCGGCGCCCAACUGACGCUGAGGCACGAAAGCGUGGGUAUCGAACAGGAUUAGAUACCCUGGUAGUCCACGCAGUAAACGAUGAAUACUAAUUGUCCG
rnacentral:rRNA from 1 species